GGAGAGAUGGCUGAGUGGUUGAAAGCACCGGUCUUGAAAACCGGCAAGGGUUAAUAGCCCUUCUAGGGUUCAAAUCCCUAUCUCUCCGCCA
rnacentral:tRNA from 36 species